rnacentral:sRNA from 1 species
UGACCACUUCCGGUUCGGAAGUUAAGCCCAGACGGACAGGCGGGUCAAGUGCCG